AGUGAACGCUGGCGGUAGGCCUAACACAUGCAAGUCGAACGGCAGCACAGUAAGAGCUUGCUCUUACGGGUGGCGAGUGGCGGACGGGUGAGGAAUACAUCGGAAUCUACUUUUUCGUGGGGGAUAACGUAGGGAAACUUACGCUAAUACCGCAUACGACCUACGGGUGAAAGCAGGGGAUCUUCGGACCUUGCGCGAUUGAAUGAGCCGAUGUCGGAUUAGCUAGUUGGCGGGGUAAAGGCCCACCAAGGCGACGAUCCGUAGCUGGUCUGAGAGGAUGAUCAGCCACACUGGAACUGAGACACGGUCCAGACUCCUACGGGAGGCAGCAUUGGGGAAUAUUGGACAAUGGGCGCAAGCCUGAUCCAGCCAUACCGCUUGGGUGAAGAAGGCCUUCUGGUUGUAAAGCCCUUUUGUUGGGAAAGAAAAGCAGCAGGUUAAUACCCCGCUGUUCUGACGGUACCCUAAGAAUAAGCACCGGCUAACUUCGUG
rnacentral:rRNA from 1 species